GACGAACGCUGGCGGCGUGCCUAAUACAUGCAAGUCGAGCGAAUCAAAGGGAGCUUGCUCCCUGAGGUUAGCGGCGGACGGGUGAGUAACACGUGGGCAACCUGCCUAUAAGACUGGGAUAACUUCGGGAAACCGGAGCUAAUACCGGAUAAUUCAUAUCUACUCAUGUAGAUAUGCUGAAAGACGGUUUACGCUGUCACUUAUAGAUGGGCCCGCGGCGCAUUAGCUAGUUGGUGAGGUAACGGCUCACCAAGGCGACGAUGCGUAGCCGACCUGAGAGGGUGAUCGGCCACACUGGGACUGAGACACGGCCCAGACUCCUACGGGAGGCAGCAGUAGGGAAUCUUCCGCAAUGGACGAAAGUCUGACGGAGCAACGCCGCGUGAGUGAUGAAGGUUUUCGGAUCGUAAAACUCUGUUGUUAGGGAAGAACAAGUACUAGAGUAACUGCUAGUACCUUGACGGUACCUAACCAGAAAGCCACGGCUAACUACGUGCCAGCCGCCGCAGUAACAC
rnacentral:rRNA from 1 species